UACGUAGGGGGCAAGCGUUGUCCGGAUUUAUUGGGCGUAAAGCGCGUGUAGGCGGCCAGGUAGGUCCGUUGUGAAAACUCGAGGCUCAACCUCGAGAUGUCGGCGGAAACCAUCUGGCUAGAGUCCGGAAGAGGAGAAUGGAAUUCCCGGUGUAGCGGUGAAAUGCGCAGAUAUCGGGAAGAACACCCGUGGCGAAGGCGGUUCUCUGGGACGGUACUGACGCUGAGACGCGAAAGCGUGGGGAGCGAACAGG
rnacentral:rRNA from 1 species